UACGAAGGGGGCGAGCGUUGUUCGGAUUUACUGGGCGUAAAGGGCGCGCAGGCGGCGAUUUUUGUCAGGCGUGAAAGCCCCGGGCUCAACCUGGGAACUGCGCUUGAAACGGGAUUGCUAGAGAUCGGGAGAGGAGAGUGGAAUUCCCGAGUGUAGAGGUGAAAUUCGUAGAUAUUGGGUAAGAACACCGGUGGCGAAGGCGGCUCUCUGGACCGAUACUGACGCUGAGGCGGCGAAAGCGUGGGGGAG
rnacentral:rRNA from 1 species